UAGGGAAUCUUCCGCAAUGGGCGAAAGCCUGACGGAGCAACGCCGCGUGAGUGAUGAAGGUCUUCGGAUCGUAAAACUCUGUUAUUAGGGAAGAACAAAUGUGUAAGUAACUAUGCACGUCUUGACGGUACCUAAUCAGAAAGCCACGGCUAACUACGUGCCAGCAGCCGCGGUAAUACGUAGGUGGCAAGCGUUAUCCGGAAUUAUAGGGCGUAAAGCGCGCGUAGGCGGUUUUUUAAGUCUGAUGUGAAAGCCAACGGCUCAAACGUGGGUGGUCAUUGGAAACUGGAAAACUUGAGUGCAGAAGCGGAAAGUGGAAUUCCAUGUGUAGCGGUGAAAUGCGCAGAGUUUUGGAGGAACACCAGUGGCGCAGGCGACUUUCUGGUCUGUCACUGACGCUGAUGUGCGAAAGCGUUGGGUUCAAACAGU
rnacentral:rRNA from 1 species